rnacentral:tRNA from 1 species
GUCAUAUUAGUUUAAUUUAGAAUGUAUAACUUGUAAUUAUAAGGUUUGGUGGCU